GUGCCAGCCGCCGCGGUAAUACGUAGGUCCCGAGCGUUGUCCGGAUUUAUUGGGCGUAAAGCGAGCGCAGGCGGUUUGAUAAGUCUGAAGUUAGAGGCUGUKGCUCAACCAUAGUUCGCUUUGGAAACUGUCAAACUUGAGUGCAGAAGGGGAGAGUGGAAUUCCAUGUGUAGCGGUGAAAUGCGUAGAUAUAUGGAGGAACACCGGUGGCGAAAGCGGCUCUCUGGUCUGUAACUGACGCUGAGGCUCGAAAGCGUGGGGAGCGAACAGGAUUAGAUACCCUGGUAGUB
rnacentral:rRNA from 1 species